CUUCAGCGCUACUGCCCCGCUUUGCCCGUGUGAUUGGCGGAGGUUUCGGGGUGCUCUUCGUUGAGUGACUCGGAGCGCCGUCAGGUUUACUUUGAAAAAAUUAGAGUGCUCAAAGCAGGCUUUUCACGCUUGAAUAUUCGUGCAUGGAAUAAUGGAAUAGGAACUCGUUUCUAUUUUGUUGGUUUUCGGAAAUCGAGUUAAUGAUUAACAGGGGACAAUUGGGGGCAUUAGUAUUCAGACGACAGAGGUGAAAUUCUUGGACCGUCUGAAGACUGACUACUGCGAAAGCAUUUGCCAAGAGUGUUUUCAUUAAUCAAGAACGAAAGUUAGAGGUUCGAAGGCGAUCAGAUACCGCCCUAGUUCUAACCAUAAACGAUGCCAGCUAGCGAUCUGCCGAGUUUUUUUUGUAGGCUCCGCAGGAAGCUUUCGGGAAACCAAAGCUUUUGGGUUCCGGGGGAAGUAUGGUUGCAAAGCUGAAACUUAAAGGAAUUGACGGAAGGGCACCACCAGGGAGUGGAGCCUGCGGCUUAAUUUGACUCAACACGGGAAAUCUCACCAGGGCCCGGAACACUGGAAGGAUUGACAGAAUUGAGAGCUCCUUUCUCG
rnacentral:rRNA from 1 species